UACGUAGGCAGCAAGCGUUGUUCGGAAUUACUGGGCGUAAAGAGUGUGUAGGCGGUUUUCUAUGUUCGGUGUGAAAUCUCCCGGCUUAACUGGGAGGGUGCGCCGAAAACUGGAGAGCUCGAGUAUGGGAGAGGAAAGCGGAAUUCCUGGUGUAGCGGUGAAAUGCGUAGAUAUCAGGAGGAACACCUGCGGUGUAGACGGCUUUCUGGACCAUCACUGACGCUGAGACACGAAAGCGUGGGUAG
rnacentral:rRNA from 1 species